AUUGAACGCUGGCGGCAGGCCUAACACAUGCAAGUAGAACGAGUGGCGGACGGGUGAGUAAUGUAUGGGAAACUGCCUGAUGGAGGGGGAUAACGACUGGAAACGGUAGCUAAUACCGCAUACCAUCCGAAGGGCCCAGAUGGGAUAAGCUAGUUGGUGGGGGAACGGCUGACCAAGGCCACGAUCCCUAGCUGGUCUGAGAGGAUGACCAGCCACACUGGAUCGGAGAAACGGUCCCGACUCCUACGGGAGGCAGCAGUGGGGAAUAUUGCACAAUGGGCGCAAGCCUGAUGCAGCCAUGCCGCGUGUAUGAAGAAGGCCUUCGGGUUGUAAAGUACUUUCAGCGGGGAGGCGUUACCCGCAGAAGAAGCACCGGCUAACUCCGUGCCAGCAGCCGCGGUAAUAC
rnacentral:rRNA from 1 species